GAUGAACGCUAGCUACAGGCUUAACACAUGCAAGUCGAGGGGAAACGAUAGAGAAAGCUUGCUUUUUCUAGGCGUCGACCGGCGCACGGGUGAGUAACGCGUAUCCAACCUGCCCACCACUUGGGGAUAACCUUGCGAAAGUAAGACUAAUACCCAAUGAUAUCUCAAGAAGACAUCUGAAUGAGAUUAAAGCUUUAUCGGUGAUGGAUGGGGAUGCGUCUGAUUAGCUUGUUGGCGGGGUAACGGCCCACCAAGGCGACGAUCAGUAGGGGUUCUGAGAGGAAGGUCCCCCACAUUGGAACUGAGACACGGUCCAAACUCCUACGGGAGGCAGCAGUGAGGAAUAUUGGUCAAUGGGCGAGAGCCUGAACCAGCCAAGUAGCGUGCAGGAUGACGGCCCUAUGGGUUGUAAACUGCUUUUAUAAGGGAAUAAAGUGAGUCUCGUGAGGCUUUUUGCAUGUACCUUAUGAAUAAGGACCGGCUAAUUCCGUGCCAGCAGCCGCAGUAA
rnacentral:rRNA from 1 species